rnacentral:misc_RNA from 1 species
GAUGAAGAACGUAGUGAAAUGCGAUAACUAGUGUGAAUUGCAGAAUUCCGUGAAUCAUCGAGUCUUUGAACGCACAUUGCGCCUCCUGGUAUUCCGGGAGGCAUGCCUGUUCGAGCGUCAUUAAAAUCACUCAAGCUUAGGUUUACCUAUUGCUUGGUCUUGGAGAUGGAAGCCAAUUUAUUGGAAUCCUCUUCGAAAUUCAAUGGCGAAGACCCUUGCUCUCCCAAGUGUAGUAAUAACUUAUGUCACUGAAGGAAGCGAGAAAUCUUCUGCCGUAACCCCCAUAUUUUCUAUGAUUGACCUCGGAUCAGGUAGGGAUACCCGCUGAACUUAAGCAUAUCAAUAAGCGGAGGA